GCAGUGGUGGCUCAGUGGUAAAGCGUUUGCCUAGUAAGGCACUGGAUUCAAUCCUCAGUACCACAUAAAAACAAAUAAAUGAAACAAAAGGUAUUGUGUCCAUCUAUUACUUAAAAAAUAAUUUUUAAAGAAGAAUGUAUGAGAGCAAAUACUUCUCCAGUGUUCAGCACUGAUUCUUUA
rnacentral:tRNA from 1 species